AGCGACCAAAUGGGGGCACUCUCAGGGGAGUUGCGCUCAUCUGGAGCGAGACGCCAGCCUGGGAAAGCGGAACCCCUUUCCCGCCCCGCCCCGAGGACUCACGCUCAGGUGCAACGCCGAGACUCCCGGGGGAGAGAGACGGGACCGUCUCGGCGCGACCGCCCACUCCUCUUGCUCCAAAUGACCCCAGCACACAGGAGAGGUCCUCUCAGCGUGGGACUCCGUCUCUCCCGAAGGCAAACAGCAGAGCGAAGCGGCUACUCGUCUCUGCAGCCGGGCUACGAGCCCGCAGCCUGGCUCGCAGGUGAGAUGUGACUUUUGCCUUCCACCACGACUGUGCCCAGUCUUGGGUAUGUCUUUAUCAGCAGCAGGAAAAUGGACUACUACAGUAAAUUGGUACCAGUAGAGUGGGCGCUGCUGAAAAGAUACUCAAAAAUGUGAAAGUGACUUUGGAACUGGGUAACACACAGAGGUUGGAACAGUUUGGAGGGCUCAGAAGAAGACAGGAAAAUGUGGGAAAGUUUGGAACUUCCUAGAGACUUGUUGAAUGGCUCUGCGUAAAAUGCUGAUAAUGACAUGGACAAUGAAAUCCAGGUUAAUAUGGUCUCUGAUGGAGAUGAAGAACUUGUUGGGAACUGGAGCAAAGGUGACUCUUGUUUUAGCAAAGAGACUGGUGGCAUUUUGCCCCUGCUCUAGAGAUUUUUGGAACUUUGAACUUAAGAGAGAUGAUUUAGGUAUCUGGCAGAAGAAAUUUCUAAGCAGCAAAGCACUCAAGAGGUGACUUGAGUGCUAUUAAAGGCAUACAGUUUUAAAAGGGAAACAGCAUAAAAGUUCAGAAAAUUUGCAGCUUGACAAUGUGAUAGAAAGGAAAAUCCCAUUUUCUGAGGAGAAAUUCAAGCUGGCUGCAGAAAUUUGCAUACGUAAUGAGGAGCUGAAUGUUAAUCCCCAAGACAAUGGGAAAAAUGUCUCCAGGGCAUGUUAGAGGUUUUCAUGGCAGCUCCUUCCGUCACAGGCCUGGAAGCCUAAAAGGUAAAAGUGGUUUCUUGGGCCAGGCCCAGGGUCCCUCUGCUGUGUGCAGUCUAGGGACUUGGUGCCCUGCAUCCCAGCUGCUCCAGCUGUGACUAAAAGGAGCCAAGGUACAGCUCAGUCCAUGGCUUCAGAGGGUGCAAGCCCCGAGCCUUGGCAGCUUCCAUGUGGUGUUGAGCAUGCCAGUGUACAGUGCACAGAAGUCAAGAACUGGGGUUUGGGAACCUCUGCCUAGGUUUCAGAGGAUGUAUGGAAAUGCCUAGAUGUCCAGGCAGAAGUUUCCUGCAGGGGUGGGGCCCUCAUGGAGAACCUCUGCUAGGGCAGUGUGGAAGGGAAAUGUGGGAUCAGAGCCCCCACAGAGAAUCCCUACUGGGACACUGCCUAGUGGAGAUGUGAGAAGAGGGCCACCAUCCUCCAGACCCCAGAAUAGUAGAUCCACUGAUAUCUUGCACCAUGCACCUGGAAAACCUGCAGAAGUCAAUGCCAGCCUGUGAAAGCAGCCAGGAGGGAGGCUGUACCAUGCAAAGCCACAGGGGUGGACCUGCCCAAGACCAUGGGAAUCCACCUCUUACAUCAGCAUGACAUGGAUGUGAGACAUGGAGUCAAGGGAGAUCAUUCUGGAGUUUUAAGAUUUGACUGCCCUGCUGGAUUUUAGACUUGCAUGGGACUUGUAGCCCCUUUGUUUUGGCCAAUUUCUCCCAUUUGGAAUAGGUGUAUUUACCCAAUACCUGUACCCCCAUUGUAUCUAAGAAGUAACUAACUUGCUUUUGAUUUUACAGGCUCAUAGGUGGAAGGGACUUACCUUGUCUUAGGUGAGAUUUGCCUUUCUCCUUCUGCCAUGAUUGUGAG